ACUUGUUGUUUUUCGACAACAUCAUUGCGACAUUUACAAUAUCUUCAAACAUGACCGUUGUUCCCUUGAACACUUACAGUUUUGAGUAAGAAAAUCGCCAAAAACUAAGAUUCAUCAACGUCCAUGUUUAGCUUGUCACGUCACACUCAUUAUCAUCAGCUGUUGAGCACCUUGUCAAAGAAGUCGGCACAUGGAAAUCACAAUGGAAAGGAGGAUUUUGCAUACAUUUUGAGAAUUUGUAUUCACUGGGUUUUCUACUGCUUCCAAGUGACUUGACAUGUAGGAAGUCUGCAUUAUCAUGAUUUUAAGAUAAAUGAGAAACAAUGGCUACUUCCAAUACAAUAGCACAUUUGAUAAAAUGAAUAAGAC